UGAGAAUGUUUGUUUCUGGGUCCUGGAUCAUCAAACCAGGAUAUGUCAAGGAUUGAAUGUCCUGAGCUACUGUAUCAGUGACUAAGGAACCACAGUGGAAUAAAACUAGGAAUCAAUUCCAACAGGAACUCUCAAAACAAAAGAAAUGCAUGAAAAUUAAACAAAACCUGCUGUUGAAGGCUUUUUGGAUCAAUGAUGAAAUCAAGAUGGAAAUCAAAAUAUUUUUGGAAUGACAAAGAUGACACAAGUUACCAAAAUCUCUGGGAUACAGAAAAAGCAGUGCUAAUAGGGAAGUUCAUGGUACUAAAUGCCUACAUCAAAAAGACAGACAGAUCACAAAUUUCCUGGAUAUCAUUAUAAGAAGAUAUAAUAAGAGGUCAUAAUAUCAAAAAUACAACUGUACCUAAAUGUU